AGCGAACGCUGGCGGCAGGCCUAACACAUGCAAGUCGAACGAAGCCUUCGGGCUUAGUGGCGGACGGGUGAGUAACACGUGGGAACGUACCUUUUGGUUCGGAAUAACGCAGAGAAACUUGAGCUAAUACCGGAUGAGCCCUUAGGGGGAAAGAUUUAUCGCCGAAAGAGCGGCCCGCGUUAGAUUAGCUAGUUGGUGAGGUAAAGGCUCACCAAGGCUACGAUCUAUAGCUGGUCUGAGAGGAUGAUCAGCCACACUGGGACUGAGACACGGCCCAGACUCCUACGGGAGGCAGCAGUGGGGAAUCUUGCGCAAUGGGCGAAAGCCUGACGCAGCCAUGCCGCGUGAAUGAUGAAGGUCUUAGGAUUGUAAAAUUCUUUCACCGGGGACGAUAAUGACGGUACCCGGAGAAGAAGCCCCGGCUAACUUCGUGCCAGCAGCCGCCGUAAAAC
rnacentral:rRNA from 1 species